CUAUCUCCAUUUUAUCUUUCAUUUCACUCACAAUAAAAUCAUAUAUUGGUUUUGAUAAAUGAGUUAUCAUUGGUCUUGUGUCAAGAUAUACAUUGUUCCGGUAUAUCUCGACACAGGAACAAUACUAACUCAUUUAUCAAUAAAAAUGUAUGAUUUUAUUGAAAGUGAAAUGAAAGAUAUAAUGGGAGACAU